rnacentral:rRNA from 1 species
AUUGAACGCUGGCGGCAUGCUUUACACAUGCAAGUCGAACGGCAGCACGGGUGCUUGCACCUGGUGGCGAGUGGCGGACGGGUGAGUAAUACAUCGGAACGUAUCCAGAAGAGGGGGAUAACGCAUCGAAAGAUGUGCUAAUACCGCAUAUUCUCUGAGGAGGAAAGCAGGGGAUCGAAAGACCUUGCGCUUUGGGAGCGGCUGAUGUCUGAUUAGCUAGUUGGUGGGGUAAAGGCCUACCAAGGCGACGAUCAGUAGUUGGUCUGAGAGGACGACCAGCCACACUGGGACUGAGACACGGCCCAGACUCCUACGGGAGGCAGCAGUGGGGAAUUUUGGACAAUGGGCGCAAGCCUGAUCCAGCAAUGCCGCGUGAGUGAAGAAGGCCUCGG